rnacentral:rRNA from 1 species
AACGAACGCUGGCGACGUGGAUUAGGCAUGCAAGUCGAGCGAGAACCGUAGCAAUACGGGGACAGCGGCGAAAGGGACAGUAAUGUGUAGGUACCUACCCCGAGGUCUGGGAUAGCUGCGGGAAACUGCAGGUAAUACCGGAUAAUGUCUUCGGACCAAAGGUGUGAUUCCACCUUGGGAGGGGCCUGCAUCCUAUUAGCUAGUUGGCGGGGUAAUGGCCCACCAAGGCAACGAUGGGUAGCGGGUGUGAGAGCACGACCCGCGUCAUUGGGACUGAGAUACUGCCCAGACACCUACGGAGGGCUGCAGUCGAGGAUCUUCGGCAAUGGGCGAAAGCCUGACCGAGCGACGCCGCGUGCGGGAUGAAGGCCUUCGGGUUGUAAACCGCUGUCGUAGAGGAGGAAAUGCAGGGGGGUUCUCCCUUCUGUUUGACCUAUUCUAGGAGGAAGGACGGGCUAAGUUCGUGCCAGCAGCCGCCGUAA